rnacentral:rRNA from 1 species
UACGUAGGGGGCGAGCGUUGUCCGGAGUUACUGGGCGUAAAGCGCUUGUAGGCGGUCCACCAAGUUUGGGGUGACAGUUGCCGACUUAAUCGGCAAAGUGCCUCAAAGACUGGCGGACUUGAGGGCCACAGAGGGACAUGGAACUCCAGGUGUAGUGGUGAAAUGCGUAGAUAUCUGGAAGAACACCAAAGGCGAAGGCAGUGUCCUGGGUGGUCGCUGACGCUGAGAAGCGAAAGCCAGGGGAGCGAACGGG